CGACUCUCGGCAACGGAUAUCUCGGCUCUCGCAUCGAUGAAGAACGUAGCGAACUGCGAUACUUGGUGUGAAUUGCAGAAUCCCGUGAACCAUCGAGUCUUUGAACGCAAGUUGCGCCCGAAUCCAUUCGGACGAGGGCACGUUUGCCUGGGUGUCACAC
rnacentral:rRNA from 2 species